UACGAAGGGUGCAAGCGUUACUCGGAAUUACUGGGCGUAAAGCGUGCGUAGGUGGUUUGUUAAGUCUGAUGUGAAAGCCCUGGGCUCAACCUGGGAAUUGCAUUGGAUACUGGCAGGCUAGAGUGCGGUAGAGGAUGGCGGAAUUCCCGGUGUAGCGGUGGAAUGCGUAGAGAUCCGGAAGAACACCGGUGGCGAAGGCGGCUCGCUGGGCAGUGGCUGACGCUGAGGCGCGACAGCGUGGGGAGCAAACAGG
rnacentral:rRNA from 1 species